rnacentral:lncRNA from 1 species
AUGAAGCCAGGCAUCACCACUGCUUCUGUGGCAACAAUUCGGUGUAGUCUUAGGAGACGGUUCCAAGGUGGGGAAAAAACAGGAAAGCAAGACCCUGAGCGUCAUGACCAGGAACCUGUGGCUCUAAACAUGUUCUCAGUGGAGUGGAAAGCAAAAGGCAGGCUUCCUCGUCCGGCAGACAGGCACUGCCAUGGCCCGUUCAGUCUGGCCGAAGAUGCCGUGUGCGGGGGCGCAGCGCCCAGGGAGCUCUGGGGGUGCGUGUAUUCACAGGGAAGGGCUUCCCUGGGAUGGGCUUGGCUGAGGAGGGGGCGCUGUGCUCGCAGGGGUGGGUGCGGUUGGGCUCUAGGAAGAGGCUUUGGAGGUGGGAGAGGAAUGAGCCCGAAGGAUCGGGGGCCUCCUUUGGAGGAGCAGGAAGGAGGUGCAUGGGCCGGCAUAGACGGGACGUCUCAGGGCUCCCGGGGGUCAGGGACCUUGUGGAGCAGAGCCCAGGGGCCCAGCAGUGUGGAUUUGGGGGUUGAGUGUGAGGUGGGGGAGAGUGGGGCUCUGCCGGUGCUUCCAGUGUGGGCCUUGGUUUUCUGGAGGAGCCAACGGGGCCGCCAGCAGCGGGAGAAGGAUGCCCACAGGAGUGGGGCCUGGCGGGAGGACGGAGCACUGGCCCUUAGAGGAGGGCACAGCCCUGCCUCUUGACCUGGGGUUGUGGGUUUUCUUUCCUCAAGCACUUCCUUCCACUGAGGUUCUCUCUCUCUCUCUCUUUUUUUUUUCCUUUCUGUGGCCACACCCACGGCAUAUGGAGGUUACCACGGUAAGAGUUGAACUGGAGCUGGAGCUGCCAGCCUACGCCACAGCCCCAACAACACAGGAUCCGAGCUGUGUCUGCGACCUUCACCACAGCUCAGGGCAACACCAGCUCCUUAACCCACUGAGGGAGGCCGGGGAUGGAAGCUGGGUCCUCCUGGAUGCUGGUUAGAUUCGUCAUCCGCUGAGCCCCAGCGGGAACUCCUUCCCUGACGUCCUUGUUUCUGCAGUUCAGCACCCGCUUUUCUCAUCGCCCUUCUUCACGACCUCUGAGUCCUUUCUGCCCUCUUGCUUCCCCUUCCUCCCCCGGGCACAACGCCCUCCUCAUCUCAGACCCGAAUGCUGUCUCCAGGCACUGGGUAAAAACGCAGGCUGCAGGAAAAGCCGGUUUUAACAAAGGAACCCAGAUCAGGCUUCUGUGAGAGCCUGGACCGUCCAUCUCCCCGCAAAAAGAGAGUGACGUCAGUGAGGACAAAUAAUAUCUGAGGAAAGAAAGAGCCAAUCAUCUUGUAGGUUUGUUCAAAACCACCUAUUUACGCAUCCCAGAAGCUUCGCGAAUGAAAACCAGCACAGGCUUUAUGAAGUCUGCUCAUCCAUCACAGUCGUAAUGAAACCUGUGGAAACGAUGAGAAGCGUCCAGAGACGAUGUCGUGUUCCAUCCGGAGGAGAAGCGGUUCGGACGAGUCGAGCUUCCACCUCCGAAACCAGUGCUGUCAGCAGAGGGGGAGUUCUGGAGAGAUGGGACUGGCCGGCCUGGGAGUCUUCCGGCGACAUUCUUGGGGCAUGAAGGCGAAACGGGCAUUGUUAGAGGGAGGAGUGUGGAGAGACUUGCUGCCCGUGGACCUGCUCUAAGGGAAAUGGUGAGGGCGAGUCUUCAGGUGGAAAGGCAGCC